AUACCUUUCUCGGCCUUUUGGCUAAGAUCAAGUGUAGUAUCUGUUCUUAUCAGUUUAAUAUCUGAUAUGUGGGCCAUCGGCUCACACGAUAUUAACUUAAUUUUUGAAGGGGAAGAGUCCAUUAAGGUAGCUUGCUGCCUGGGCUUUUGCGCGUCGCCCAUGCGUUGCACUACUGCACGGGCUUGGCGCACCCCAC
rnacentral:snRNA from 1 species